CAGCGGCACCAUGACUGUGUGACUUGGACUUCAGUGGAUAUAAACUGCAAACUCGGGGGCCUGUGUGCUGAGCUGUGUUUGGAAAUCCUAUUAAACACUGUUAUUGCCAUAGGUUAUGCUAUGCAAUGUCUGUGCCUAACCCAAGAACGUUUAGCGCCAGGGGGGAACUUGAUAAAAAACAAGCCCCAAGACAUUCAUUGAUAUCUGCAAAGGGCCCCCACUUGGAAUGGGUACUGUAAGAGGCCCUACAGAAAAAUGUAUUUGAACUAAAAGAAAAAAAAAAAGAAAAGAAAAGCAGCCCAGUUGUGCAGACAACUUAUUCCCCCAGCCCAGACCACAAAAGGGAAUGCUAGGGAGGGGUGAGCCAGUCAACCUGCUGACUAUUUUGAAACAAAGAGUUAGGAUGGUAUAAAAACCUCAGGGAGCUUGGAGCCUGUCUCUUUCAACAGAAACGCUCUUGAAUUGCUGCUGGACUGCAAGAGGAGUGUGAUCUGUUUAGCAUGGAACCAGGAACUUUAAGCUGCAUUUCACCACCAGGCCAAGUACAGUCAAAACACAAGAGGGUAAACAAGCUCAAAAGAAAAAGGAAAGAGACAGCUGAAAAGGAAAAUUCACCAGCAUCAAUGACUGAUGGAUGAAGCCCAGCACGGGCAGCUUUCCUGACAAUACUGUAGUCGAAGCUACAGGGACACCUCCACCAGAACCGCCAAAGAACCAGGAAUCUGCUUUGAGACCUUUAACAACGCUAACACAAAACAGCACAAGCAGGAGCGCCGCCAGCUUUUCUGCCGCCCUAGAUGGCGGAAGGUCCCACCCCA